CCUACGGGAGGCAGCAGUGAGGAAUAUUGGACAAUGGAGGCAACUCUGAUCCAGCCAUGCCGCGUGAAGGAUGACUGCCCUAUGGGUUGUAAACUUCUUUUAUAUGGGAAGAACUGCAGAUACGUGUAUUUGUUUGACGGUACCAUACGAAUAAGGACCGGCUAACUCCGUGCCAGCAGCCGCGGUAAUACGGAGGGUCCAAGCGUUAUCCGGAAUCAUUGGGUUUAAAGGGUUCGUAGGCGGGCUAAUCAGUCAGAGGUGAAAUCCAGCAGCUUAACUGUUGAACUGCCUUUGAUACUGUUAGUCUUGAGUCAUAUGGAAGUAGAUAGAAUAUGUAGUGUAGCGGUGAAAUGCAUAGAUAUUACAUAGAAUACCGAUUGCGAAGGCAGUCUACUACGUAUUGACUGACGCUGAUGAACGAAAGCGUGGGGAGCGAACGGGGUUAGAUACCCCGGUAGUCCACGCCGUAAACGAUGGACACUAGUUGUUGGGUUUCGGCUCAGUGACUAAGCGAAAGUGAUAAGUGUCCCACCUGGGGAGUACGGUCGCAAGAUUGAAACUUAAAGGAAUUGACGGA
rnacentral:rRNA from 1 species